rnacentral:rRNA from 1 species
CAAUAGCGUAUAUUAAAGUUGUUGCAGUUAAAAAGCUCGUAGUUGGACCUUGGACCUGGACAGGCGGUCCGCCUCACGGCGAGUACUGUCUUGCUGGGUCUUUCCUCUUGGUGAUCUGUUGUUUCGGCAGCAGGGAACCAGGACCUUUACUUUGAAAAAAUUAGAGUGUUCAAGGCAGGCUCGACGCCGGAAUAUAUUAGCAUGGAAUAAUAAAAUAGGACGUGCGGUUCUAUUUUGUUGGUUUUUGGAAUCGCCGUAAUGAUUAAUAGGGACAGUCGGGGGCAUUAGUACUCACAUGCUAGAGGUGAAAUUCUUGGAUUUUGUGAAGACUAACUUCUGCGAAAGCAUUUGCCAAGGAUGUUUUCAUUAA